rnacentral:rRNA from 1 species
UACGAAGGGUGCAAGCGUUACUCGGAAUUACUGGGCGUAAAGCGUGCGUAGGUGGUUCGUUAAGUCUGCCGUGAAAGCCCCGGGCUCAACCUGGGAAUGGCGGUGGAUACUGGCGGACUAGAGUGCGGUAGAGGGUGGUGGAAUUCCCGGUGUAGCAGUGAAACGCGUAGAGAUCGGGAGGAACAUCUGUGGCGAAGGCGGCCACCUGGACCAGCACUGACACUGAGGCACGAAAGCGUGGGGAGCAAACAGG